rnacentral:rRNA from 1 species
AGUGAACGCCGGCGGUAGGCCUAACACAUGCCAGUCGAACGGCAGCACAGUAAGAGCUUGCUCUUACGGGUGGCGAGUGGCGGACGGGUGAGGAAUACAUCGGAAUCUACUUUUUCGUGGGGGAUAACGUAGGGAAACUUACGCUAAUACCGCAUACGACCUACGGGUGAAAGCAGGAGAUCUUCGGACCUUGCGCGAUUGAAUGAGCCGAUGUCGGAUUAGCUAGUUGGCGGGGUAAAGGCCCACCAAGGCGACGAUCCGUAGCUGGUCUGAGAGGAUGAUCAGCCACACUGGAACUGAGACACGGUCCAGACUCCUACGGGAGGCAGCAGUGGGGAAUAUUGCACAAUGGGCGCAAGCCUGAUCCAGCCAUACCGCGUGGGUGAAGAAGGCCUUCGGGUUGUAAAGCCCUUUUGUUGGGAAAGAAAAGCAGCAGGUUAAUCCCCCGCUGUUCUGACGGUACCCAAAGAAUAAGCACCGGCUAACUUCGUG